rnacentral:ncRNA from 1 species
UUCUUCGGGGCAGGGUGAUAUGCGAAGGCAUAAAUUCCCUACCGACGGUGAUCCUGGCGAAGAAGGCCAGAAAGUCCGUGAACCGCGCAGGCGGCUGAUCCGGUGAGAUUCCGGAACCGACAGUAAAGUCUGGAUGGGAGAAGAA